ensembl:lncRNA PLEKHA8P1 pleckstrin homology domain containing A8 pseudogene 1
AGAAGGAAGUCGGCAGGCGAGACUGCAGAGGGAGUAGUGCGAUCCUGCGCGCGGGGGAACUAGCUGGAGGGCAAGGCGGGAACACGCCACUGUGAGCAUGCAUUUCAGGUUGUUGGCGCAGCUCUGCUCCAUGAUGUCGAUCUGAAACCCAGAUUUUCCUUCUCUUGCCACUGUCAUCUCCUGCAUGGCCAAAGCUAGGUCACCAUCAUAGUCAUGUUUCAGCCUAUGGGAAGGGGGAAAGACAAUAUUCAAGCAUCUAUUGUUGGGGUGAUCGGACCUAACACCAGGUUGUGGGGACAACGAAGUCCAGAAGAGUGAAAGGAAUGAGAAAAGACAGUUUGAGAGAGAAAGUGGGCCCAGGGGGCCAAUGCGAGUAUGGAGGCUGUGAAGGCCCCGAGCCCUGGAAGCCCAGACUAUUUAUUGGUGAUCAAACAAAGAAACAGGUGGUGAGAAUGUGGGGUUGAAAGGGAGCAUUGCAUUAAGCACAUGAUUUACAGCUGUGAUGGUUUAGCAUAUGCUCUGCUACUUGAGAUAAUGGAGAGCAGGUUCUUUUAACUCAAGAUACAAUAGAUCCUGGGAGAGCAGGGAGCAAGGAGCCAGCCAGCCUAGACACAUUCCAGAGGCCAUGAGCCCUGGAUUCUUUCCAAGCCACAAGGGGUUUUAUGCCCUGGGCUUAGAUUAUGGUGCAUCAGGGUAGCCUUCCACCCUUUGGCGCAGAGCUUGGUGUUCCAAAGGCCACGAGGGGUUUUAGACCCAGGAUCCCAGACAUAUUUCAAGACUUUUUUGUAUUAUGUCAGACAUGCAAGCCCUGCCUCAGCUUCUCUCCCAACACUCAGCUUUUCUCCCAACAUUUAUUAAAUAGCUCCUAUGUGCAAAGCA